CCUACGGGUGGCUGCAGUGAGGAAUAUUGGUCAAUGGGCGGGAGCCUGAACCAGCCAAGCCGCGUGAAGGAAGAAGGCGCCAUGCGUUGUAAACUUCUUUUGUCGGGGAACAAAGGGCGCCACGCGUGGCGUUGUGAGUGUACCCGAAGAAAAAGCAUCGGCUAACUCCGUGCCAGCAGCCGCGGUAAUACGGAGGAUCCGAGCGUUAUCCGGAUUUAUUGGGUUUAAAGGGGGCGUAGGCGGUCCGGAAAGUCAGCGGUAAAAGCCCGGGGCUCAACCCCGGCGCGCGGUUGAAACUGGCGGGCUAGAGAGGGCGAGACGUACGCGGAAUGCGCGGUGUAGCGGUGAAAUGCAUAGAUAUCGCGAAGAACUCCGAUUGCGAAGGCAGCGUACCGGGGCGGGACUGACGCUGAGGCACGAAAGCGUGGGUAUCGAACAGGAUUAGAUACCCGGGUAGUC
rnacentral:rRNA from 1 species